UAGGGAAUCUUCGGCAAUGGGGGGAACCCUGACCGAGCAACGCCGCGUGAGUGAAGAAGGUUUUCGGAUCGUAAAGCUCUGUUGUUAAGGAAGAACGAGUGUGAGAAUGGAAAGUUCAUACUGUGACGGUACUUAACCAGAAAGGGACGGCUAACUACGUGCCAGCAGCCGCGGUAAUACGUAGGUCCCGAGCGUUGUCCGGAUUUAUUGGGCGUAAAGCGAGCGCAGGCGGUUAGAUAAGUCUGAAGUUAAAGGCAGUGGCUCAACCAUUGUAGGCUUUGGAAACUGUUUAACUUGAGUGCAGAAGGGGAGAGUGGAAUUCCGUGUGUAGCGGUGAAAUGCGUAGAUAUAUGGAGGAACACCGGUGGCGAAAGCGGCUCUCUGGUCUGUAACUGACGCAGAGGCUCGAAAGCGUGGGGAGCGAACAGG
rnacentral:rRNA from 1 species